rnacentral:rRNA from 1 species
UACGAAGGGAGCUAGCGUUGUUCGGAAUGACUGGGCGUAAAGGGCGCGUAGGCGGACAUCUAAGUCAGGGGUGAAAUCCCAGGGCUCAACCCUGGAAUUGCCUUUGAUACUGGACGUCUCGAGUUCGGGAGAGGUGAGUGGAAUUCCGAGUGUAGAGGUGAAAUUCGUAGAUAUUCGGAGGAACACCAGAAGCGAAGGCGGCUCACUGGCCCGAUACUGACGCUGAGGCGCGAAAGCGUGGGGAGCAAACAGG